rnacentral:lncRNA from 1 species
AAGAUGUUUCUCCUCUCUUACAGCGCGAGCACAAACACAGCACAAGAAAUCCAGUGAAUGUGCCAGGGUUGGAUGCAGCCAGGGAAGCAAAGACCAUACUAGUUGUUGAUGUCUUCUGCAGAGCUGUCGCUCCUGGAACCAGUGUGUAGGUUGCUGUCCCAGACAUAGCCAAGCUUCGUCUUUUGUCUGUUUUUCUUCCAUUCUUUCGUCCCUUCCUCUUGCCCUCUCAGAAGCAUCCUGAAGUGAGAUCCAGUGGACACGGAUGUAGAACAGGGGAAGAAAGCUCGCAAUGGCAAGGUGUUGAAGCAAGUGCUGUGUAGGCAGCAGAAGUCCUGAAAUGAUCAAGUAACU